rnacentral:lncRNA from 1 species
GAAAACUUCCAUUUUUCAAACAUAUGACUAUUUUACAGCAUUUUAAAGACAAGACUUUCCUUUAUCUAACCACACUGUCCGAUUUCAAAAAGGCUUUACAACGAAAGCAAAACAUUAGAUUAUGUCAGGAGAGUACCCAGCCAGAAAUAAUCAGACACCCAUUUUUCAAGCUAGCAUAUAAUGUCACAAAAACCAAAACCACAGCUAAAUGCAGCACUAACCUUUGAUGAUCUGCAUCAGAUGACACUCCUAGGACAUUAUGUUAAACAAUACAUGCAUGUUUUGUUCAAUCAAGUUCAUAUUUAUAUCAAAAACCAGCUUUUUACAUUAGCAUGUGACGUUCAGAACUAGCAUUCCCACUGAAAACCUCCGGUGAAUUUACUAAAUUACUCACGAUAAACGUUCACAAAAAACAUAACAAUUAUUUUAAGAAUUAUAGAUACAGAACUCCUUUAUGCAAUCGCGGUGUCCGAUUUUAAAAUAGCUUUUCGGUGAAAGCACAUUUUGCAAUAUUCUGAGUAGAUAGCUCGCCAUCACGGCUAGCUAUUUUGACACCCACCAAGUUUGGUACUCACCAAACUCAGAUUUACUAUUAGAAAAAUUGGAUUACCUUUGCUGUUCUUCGUCAGAAUGCACUCCCAGGACUUCUACUUCAACAACAAAUGUUGGUUUGGUUCCAAAUAAUCCAAAUAGCGGCGUUUUGUUCGUGCGUUCAAGACACUAUCCGAAGGGUAACGAAGGGGGACGCGCGGACGCGUAUUGUGACAAAAAAUUUCAAAAUAUUCCACUACCGUACUUCGAAGCAUGUCAAACGCUGUUUAAAAUCAAUUUUUAUGCGAUUUUUCUCGUAAAAUAGCGAUAAUAUUCCGACCGGGAGUCGUUGUUUUCGUUCAAAGACUGAUAAUCUAAAAUGGACUCUUCACGUGCAUGCGCGCACCCGUCUCAUUGUUCUCAGAUCGACCACUAUCCAAGUGCGCUACUGUUUUUCAGCCAUGGGCUGCAAAGUCAUCAUUCAACGUUCUGGCGCCUUCUGAGAGCCUAUGGGAGCAUUAGAAAGUGUCACGUUACAGCAGAGAUCCUUUGUUUUGGAUAGAGAUGACAAAGAAGGCCAAGAAAUGGUCAGACAGGGUACUUCCUGUACAGAAUCUUCUUAGGUUUUGGCCUGCCAUUUGAGUUCUGUUAUACUCACAGACACCAUUCAAACAGUUUUAGAAACUUUGCAGUGUUUUCUAUCCAAAGCUUCUAAUUAUAUGCAUAUUCUAGUUUCUGGGCAGGAGUAAUAACCAGAUUAAAUCGGGUACAUUUUUUAUCCGGCCGUGAAAAUACUGCCCCCUAUCCUUAACAAGUUAAUCUGAAACUCUCACCCUGGUCUCUACCUCUUCACUGUCACGUGAUGUCAUUCUCUGACCCUUCCACUCUACUCCUUUCCUGAGCCCAUGCCCUCAACAGACAGAAUAGCAACACCAGCAGAGCUACAGCACCACUCAUUCUGAAAUGACACUUCCUCAGAAAUGAUAUAGUCUAAAAUGCUCAGUUUGCCAAUAGUUAACUAGGUAGCUAGGAAAUAUCAGUGAGCUAACCAUUUAUAGUAACAGCAGUUCAUUAAUAAGUCAAUAAACGCUAUCAUUGUUGUGACUAGUUUAUGAUCUUUAAUCUAAAGUAAAAAUUUAGAAACAUCACCUUGGCAUUAAUAGAUGAGUUAAUAUAUUAAUAGAUAGAUUAACAUAAUUCAUUUAAAAGGGUGAACUCCUAUGGCAGUAUGGUAGAAGAAUUACAAGAUUGUGUGUCACGUGUGCUCCCUCUCCGGCCUUUAGGUCACCAGGCUGCUCGUUAUGGCGCACACCUGUCACAAUCAUUAUGCGCACAUGCGCGUCGUCAGACUCACCUGGACUCCAUCACAACACUGAUUACCUUCCCUAUAUAUGUCACUCCCUUUGGUUCCUUCCCCAGGCGUCAUUGUUUCUGUUUCAUGUCUGUGCGUUGUUCGUGUGUUCUUGUUUUGUAUUAUGUUACGUUUAUUUAUUAAAACACUCACUCCCUGAACUUGGUUCCCGACUCUCAGCGCACUCAUUACAGAAUGACACCUCACCUAAGGGAAGCAACAGGGAGUGUUUUUUUUUUUUCGGUGGGAAUGACGUCGCAUCCGGGAACCGCUACAGGCUCUCAUUCUCGGACAGAUCGCCAGGCUCCCCUGCCUUCGCCGGUUCGUCAGGCUCUCAUGCCUCAGCCUGAUCGCCAGGCUCCCCUGCCU